UCCUUUGUGAAAAUAAAUGAAAGAGCUGCUAAGUUGCUAGAUGAAACAUUUGUUUUGUGAACAGCAAAGACAAAAGCAAACAGAAUGAAUAUUCUAGCAAUGAGUGAUGUUUUCUAUAGUCUGUUCCUUUUAUCCAAAGGAUACAUACUUAGUGCUAUUUGUAGCAUACGUCGCGGCUUUUGACUCAUUGCUUGGGUUGUGACUUGUGUUAUUGAGACCUACUUAAAAGAAGUGAACAAACUACUUCAGAGUUUGUUGGUCUUAAUAGAAGGGGUUGAAAAAAUUACCGUGAACAAACAAGAUGAGACAUUAGGACACAGCACAGGAGCAUCCUGAGGAGACCCAUAAAUUGUUUUUCCUAUCAACUUUUCCUUAUGAAAAAAGGCUCUAUUAAUUUUUGGUCUGGGUUUAAGCUGAACUGCGAUGGUGAAGUUGAGCUCUUAUAUGCCUAUGUUUUAGGGACCGAAUAACAAGCCAUAGGAGUGCGUUCUUAGUAUUUUUGUAAAACAAUUAAACCCUCAAAACUCUUCCACAGCCAAACCUAACUGGAAAGAGACCUAAAAAGCCCUUGUUAUAUGGCAUAGACUUUUAGUUUUACUCCACGCCUUUUUUGGACAAGAAGUCGCCGAUUUAUUUAUAAAGCACUCUCGGUUCGUGUUAUUGAUUUAACAUUGGACUCUUUUGGGAUGGACUAUCACUAUCUAUUAAAUGUUGAUAGCUUAUUGGGUGCUUUUAAUAUUAAAGAGUUUGAUAAGUUAAAAAGUGGGUAGCCCGGUAAAGAGUAAUAUAUUUUUAAUGUAGGCGCCCUGCUAGUUCUUCCUUGAUAGCGCCAUUCGUGACCCAUAUAAAUA